AUAAACAAACAUGAACACUUACCACACCUCGCUUUGGUCUGACUACUCUUCCUCAUCUGAUGACGAAAGCCGUUACAAUUACUGUAUAAGAAACGGAGAGAGUGGACAGAUCCUGCGCUUGUGGGUAUCGGGAUAUAAUCAUGGACUUUCUGCAGAAGAUGUCAGUAAGUCUGUCCCCACAUGAGCCGUAAUGGAGUCUGAAGUUAUCAGCCAAGCAGAGCCAUGCAGCCACAAGGCUUCAGGACCCGGCCUGCCUCCAAGAGGAACCGCUGCUGGUCAAACCAAUGGGCCGCUGAGGCUGCAGUCAGUAGGUCCACAGAAGCAUCCGGAAACGGCAGCUCCUCAGCUGUCCCUUUCCUGUAUAGUAAUGCAGGAUGAUGUCUCUGAUCUCCUCUGGGGGUACAAAGCGGUACCUCUGGUAGAUGGAGGCAUGGUGUUUCUCCUCAAACAGCCGGCAGUUCAUGGUGCUCUGCUGUCUGCUCCGCUAGCCUAGUGCUCCUUCC